AACGAACGCUGGCGGCAUGCCUAACACAUGCAAGUCGAACGGAACCUCCCGGCCUAGUGGCGCACGGGUGCGUAAGACGUGGGAACUUGCCCUUAGGUUCGCUAUCACUGCCCGUGAGGGGUGCUAAUAACGCUUAAGGUCUUCGGACAAAGGAUUUAUCGCCUUUGGAUGGGCGCGCGUUGGUUUCGCUGGUUGGUAGGGUACAAGCCUACCAAGGCGACGAUGCAUAGCUGGUCUGAGAGGAGGACCAUCCCCAAUAGGACUGAGACACGGCCCAGACUCCUACGCGAGGCAGCAGUGUGGAAUAUUGGACAAGGGGCGAAGGCCUGAUCCAGCAAUGCCGGGUGAGAGAGGAAGGCCUUAGUGUUGUAAAGCUCUUUUACACGGGAUGAUAAUGACAGUACCGGGAGAAUAAGCACCGGCUAACUCCGUG
rnacentral:rRNA from 1 species